rnacentral:rRNA from 1 species
UACAGAGGGUGCGAGCGUUAAUCGGAAUUACUGGGCGUAAAGCGUGCGUAGACGGUUAUGUAAGUCGGGUGUGAAAGCCCCGGGCUCAACCUGGGAAUGGCAUUGGAUACUGGCAGGCUAGAGUGCGGUAGAGGGUGGUGGAAUUCCCGGUGUAGCAGUGAAAUGCGUAGAGAUCGGGAGGAACAUCUGUGGCGAAGGCGGCCACCUGGACCAGCACUGACACUGAGGCACGAAAGCGUGGGGAGCAAACAGG